GGGAAUUUUGGACAAUGGGGGCAACCCUGAUCCAGCCAUGCCGCGUGAGUGAAGAAGGCCUUCGGGUUGUAAAGCUCUUUCGGACGGAACGAAACGGUUACGGUGAAUAAUCGUGACUAAUGACGGUACCGUAAGAAGAAGCACCGGCAAACUACGUGCCAGCAGCCGCGGUAAGACGUAGGGGGCGAGCGUUGUCCGGAGUUACUGGGCGUAAAGGGCCUGUAGGCGGUCGGGCAGGUUCCCGCGGACAGCCCGCGGCUUCACUGCGGGAGAAGCGGGAAGACGGCUUGACUUGAGGGCCACAGAGGGACAUGGAAUUCCCGGUGGAGCGGUGAAAUGCGUAGAGAUCGGGAAGAACACCGAAGGCGAAGGCAGUGUCCUGGGUGGUACCUGACGCUGAGAGGCGAAAGCUAGGGGAGCGAA
rnacentral:rRNA from 1 species